rnacentral:rRNA from 1 species
UACAUGGGGUGCAAACGUUGCUCGGAAUUAUUGGGCGUAAAGCGCGCGUAGGCGGUUACUUAAGUCGGAUGUGAAAGCCCUUGGCUUAACUGAGGAAGUGCAUCCGAAACUGAGUAGCUUGAGUAUGAAAGAGGGUCGCGGAAUUCCCGGUGUAGAGGUGAAAUUCGUAGAUAUCGGCAGGAACACCCAGGGGAAACCAGUGGACUGGGCAUGUGCUGACGCUCAGGUGCGAAAGCGUGGGAGCGAACCGG